rnacentral:rRNA from 1 species
GAUGAACGCUGGCGGCGUGCCUAAUACAUGCAAGUCGAGCGAACGGACGAGAAGCUUGCUUUUCUGAUGUUAGCGGCGGACGGGUGAGUAACACGUGGAUAACCUACCUAUAAGACUGGGAUAACUUCGGGAAACCGGAGCUAAUACCGGAUAAUAUUUUGAACCGCAUGGUUCAAAAGUGAAAGACGGUCUUGCUGUCACUUAUAGAUGGAUCCGCGCUGCAUUAGCUAGUUGGUAAGGUAACGGCUUAUCAAGGCAACGAUGCAUAGCCGACCUGAGAGGGGGAUCGGCCACACUGGAACUGAGACACGGUCCAGACUCCUACGGGAGGCAGCAGUAGGGAAUCUUCCGCAAUGGGCGAAAGCCUGACGGAGCAACGCCGCGUGAGUGAUGAAGGUCUGCGGAUCGUAAAACUCUGUUAUUAGGGAAGAACAUAUGUGUAAGUAACUGUGCACAUCUGGACGGUACCUAAUCAGAAAGCCAGGCUAACUACGUG